GCUUGGGGAGCAAGCUUGAGUCUUAAACAAAAAUAAAAUUUCUCUCCACCCCAUUCUCACGCCUACUCUCCCUCUCUCUUACCUCUCUCACUUUUCCCUUUCUACCACCAUGGAUAACCAUUCUCAAAGCUUCCAAGAUCCUUUCUACACCAAGAAACUCCAUCAAAUCAAGUCCUAAACAUCUAUAUUCCUUGAAUCAAGAACUAGUUUGGAGGGAUUUUCAAGCUUGAAGCAAAAGAGAAGUUUUUUUUUUAUCCUUCUUUAAAUCAUUGAUUACGCGCAGAGGACGGAGGUAAUAUCGCCCAAGUAUUACGAGAGUAAGCUAAGUUUGUCAGGAUAAGCGAGGAUGGAGAAUGGUCUGGUGCUGGCGAGGAUUUUGUUCCGAUGUUAUCCUUUUACUGUAUUUAUAUUACAUACGGUAGCUUUUUGAUGUUGAUGUUUAUAUUUUGGACUUAGUCAAGAAGUAUACUCUCGGCUAUAUGUCUUCAUACAUAUAGUCUGUACACGUUUUGCUGCGAGACUCUGUAAAUUAUGAACCUUUGUGAAUAAUUAACUAUGUCCGCUUUGUAAACUUUGUCGAGAAUCCCUGUACUUUUGAACUUACGAAGCCGAUAAUAUUUGUGUCUUUGAGAUGA